AAUCUUCCGCAAUGGACGAACGUCUGACGGAGCAACGCCGCGUGCGUGAAGAAGGUUUUCGGAUCAAAAAACUCUGUUGUCGGAGCCGAACAAGCAGGAAAGGAACUGUUGCUGCCUGGCCGUUACCGCACCAGAACGCCACGCUGAACUACUGUCCAGCAGCCGCGGUAAUACGAAGGUGGCAAGCGUUGUCCGGAUUUAUUGGGCGUAAAGCGCGCGCAGGCGGUUUCUUAAGUCUGAUGUGAAAGCCCACGGCUCAACCGUGGAGGGUCAUUGGAAACUGGGAAGCUUGAGUGCAGAAGAGGGGAGUGGAAUUCCAUGUGUAGCGGUGAAAUGCGUAGAGAUAUGGAGGAACACCAGUGGCGAAGGCGACUCUCUGGUCUGAAACUGACGCUGAGGCGCGAAAGCGUGGGAGAGAACA
rnacentral:rRNA from 1 species